rnacentral:rRNA from 1 species
UACGUAGGGAGCAAGCGUUGUCCGGAAUCAUUGGGCGUAAAGCGCGCGUAGGUGGCCCCGUAAGUCCGCUGUGAAAGUCAAAGGCUCAACCUUUGGAAGCCGGUGGAUACUGUGGGGCUAGAGUACGGAAGAGGCGAGUGGAAUUCCUGGUGUAGCGGUGGAAUGCGCAGAUAUCAGGAGGAACACCAAUAGCGAAGGCAGCUCGCUGGGACGUUUACUGACACUGAGGCGCGAAAGCGUGGGGAGCGAACAGG